AGAAGAUGUCAGCUGUACAACUUUGAAAUCGGAAAAAUCAAGAUGUGCAUGAUACCAACAAGAAUGUGAACUUUUCAAAGAGCAUGAUAUUUCCAAUUUUCCACAUCUCUAGACCAGUGACCACAAAUGUACAUACAAGUACCCACAGAUCACAGCCAUAUUGACUCCAGUAGAUACUAUUCAUC